rnacentral:rRNA from 1 species
CCUACGGGCGUCAGCAGUGGGGGAUAUUGCACAAUGGGGGAAACCCUGAUGCAGCGACGCCGCGUGAGGGAAGACGGCCUUCGGGUUGUAAACCUCUGUCGAAGGGGACGAAGGAAGUGACGGUACACUGUGAGGAAGCCACGGCUAACUACGUGACAGCAGCCGCGGUACUCCGUAGGUGGCGAGCGUUGUCCGGCAUUACUGGGUGUAAAGGUAGCGUAGGCGGGAGUUCAAGUUGAAGGUAUAAACUAUCGGCUCAACUGAUAGAAGCGUUCAAAACUGCACUUCUUGAGUGAAGUAGAGGCAUGCGGAAUGCCUAGUGUAGCGGUGAAAUGCGUAGAUAUUAGGAGGAACACCAGUGGCGAAGGCGGCCAGCUGGGCUUUAACUGACGCUGAGGCUCGAAAGCGUGGGUAGCAAACAGGAUUAGAUACCCGGGUAGUC